UGCUUGUCUCAAAGAUUAAGCCAUGCAUGUCUAAGUCCAAGCUGUGUUCACACGGCGAGACCGCGGACGGCUCAUUAAAUCAGUCGUGGUCCAAAUGGGCCAGUGCAAAUCCUACUUGGAUAACUGUGGUAAUUCCAGAGCUAAUACAUGCAACUGAUAUCCCGAAGGCGAUGGUUGUGCUUGCUUGUCUUGCGCUCUCACUGCUCUGACGGAUGCUUUUAUUAGACCAAGCCGCUGAGGACUUGAGGGCUUGCUCUCCUGUCUGACUCGUGUAAUGGUGACUCUGGAUAACCAAAUUUCUGACAAGCGCACGUACUUCUCUUCUGAGCGAGACGGCGCUGCCACUUUCGAGUGUCUGCCUUAUCAGCUAUCAACCGUUCGUUAUGCGCGACCGAUGGCUUUGACGGGUAACGGGGAAUCAGGGUUCGAUUCCGGAGAGGCAGCCUGAGAGACGGCUACCACGUCCAAGGACGGCAGC
rnacentral:rRNA from 1 species